UACGAACCGUGCGAACGUUGUUCGGAUUCACUGGGCUUAAAGGGCGCGUAGGCGGGCUUGUAAGUCAGGGGUGAAAUCCUCCGGCUCAACCGGAGAACAGCCUUUGAUACUGCAAGUCUCGAGGGAGAUAGGGGUCUGCGGAACUUCCGGUGGAGCGGUGAAAUGCGUAGAUAUCGGAAGGAACGCCGGUGGCGAAAGCGGCGGACUGGAUCUCUUCUGACGCUGAGGCGCGAAAGCUAGGGUAGCGAACGGG
rnacentral:rRNA from 1 species